rnacentral:rRNA from 1 species
UACGGAGGGAGCUAGCGUUGUUCGGAAUUACUGGGCGUAAAGCGUGCGCAGGCGGUUAUGUAAGACAGAUGUGAAAUGCCCGGGCUUAACCUGGGAACUGCAUUUGUGACUGCAUGGCUGGAGUGCGGCAGAGGGGGAUGGAAUUCCGCGUGUAGCAGUGAAAUGCGUAGAUAUGCGGAGGAACACCGAUGGCGAAGGCAAUCCCCUGGGCCUGCACUGACGCUCAGUGCACGAAAGCUGGGGAGCAACAGG